GAUCCUGGCUCAGGAUAAACGCUGGCGGCGCACAUAAGACAUGCAAGUCGAACGGAAGUCGUUAUAAAAGGAGAGAAGAUUUGUCGGAUUGAAUUUUAUAACAAUGGCCUUAGUGGCGGACUGGUGAGUAACGCGUAAGGAACCUACCUAUUAGAGGGGAACAACAAUGAGAAAUCGUUGCUAAUACCGCAUAUGCCAUAACUACCGCAUGGUAGAAGUGGGAAAGGAGUAAUCCGCUGAUAGAUGG
rnacentral:rRNA from 1 species